rnacentral:rRNA from 1 species
AAUGCCUUGGAAAAUGGAGCCGAAAAAGGACGUGAUUACCUGCGAAAAGUCUGGGGGAGCUGGAAGUAAGCUGCGAUCCCGGAAUGUCCGAAUGGGGAAACCUAACAUGAUUUAUCUCAUGUUAUCUAUAAGUGAAUACAUAGCUUAUAAGAAGGGAACCUAGGGAACUGAAACAUCUUAGUACCUAGAGGAAAAGAAAAUAAUAAUGAUUCUGUUAGUAGUGGCGAGCGAACACGGAACAGGCCAAACCGUUCUACGGGGCGGGGUUGUAGGACUUUUGUUAGAGUUACAAAGUUAUUGUAUAGUAGAAGCUAUUGGGAAGUAGCGGCAUAGAGGGUGAUACCCCCGUAUACAAAAUGCAAUAACCUCGAGAAAGUAUCCUGAGUACGGCGAAACAUGUGAAAUUUUGUCGGAAUCUGCCAAGACCACUUGGUAAGCCUAAAUACUACCAUUUUACCGAUAGUGAACCAGUACCGUGAGGGAAAGGUGAAAAGCACCCCGAGAGGGGAGUGAAAGAGAUCCUGAAACCAUAUGCUUACAAGAAGGUAGAGUCCGUUAAUGGGUGAUACCGUGCUUUUUGUAGAAAGAGCCGGCGAGUUACUAUUGCAUGCGAGGUUAAGUCGAUAUAGAUGGAGCCGUAGUGAAAGCGAGCCUUAAUAGGGCGUUUAGUAUGCAGUAGUAGACACGAAACCGGGUGAUCUAGCCAUGAGCAGGUUGAAGUUAGGGUAAAACCUAAUGGAGGACCGAACCAGUAUUCGUUGAAAAGACUUUGGAUGACUUGUGGCUAGCGGUGAAAUUCCAAUCGAACCCGGAGAUAGCUAGUUCUCCCCGAUAUAUCUUUAAGGAUAGCGUUAUGUGAAUUGUUGUGGAGGUAGAGCACUGAAUCUAUGAUGGCUGCACCUAGCGGUACUGAUUAGAAUUAAACUCCGAAUGCCAUAACUUGUGCAUAGCAGUCAGAACAUGGGUGAUAAGGUCCAUGCUCGUGAGGGAAACAGCCCAGAUCGUCAGCUAAGGUCCCUAAGUGUAAACUAAGUGUGUAAGGAUGUGGAACUGCACAGACAGCUAGGAUGUUGGCUUAGAAGCAGCCAUCAUUUAAAGAGUGCGUAACAGCUCACUAGUCGAGUGAUUCUGCGCCGAAAAUGUACCGGGGCUUAAGUUUACCACCGAAGCUACGGAUUGUACGCAAGUACAGUGGUAGGGGAGCGUUCCAAGGGUGAUGAAGUCAGACCGUAAGGACUGGUGGAGCGCUUGGAAGUGAUUAUGCCGGCAUGAGUAACGUUUGGAAGUGAGAAUCUUCCAUGCCGUUUGACCAAGGUUUCCUGGGCAAGGUUCGUCCACCCAGGGUUAGUCAGGACCUAAGGCGAGGCCGACAGGCGUAGUCGAUGGACAACAGGUUGAUAUUCCUGUACCAGUUAAUUAGUGAUGGAGUGACGGAGAAGGAUAGUAUAUCCCGGGUGCUGGUUGUCCCGGGCUAAGCACAAAGACGGCAACAUUGGCAAAUCCGUGUUGUAUUAACGUUGAAGUGUGAUGGGGAGUGAACGGUUCGCCUAGUAACGAAGUAUAUGACUCCACGCUUCCAAGAAAAGCUUCUAACAUUAAUAAUUAACUGCCUGUACCUAGAACGAACACACGUGGUCAAGGAGAAAAUCCUAAGGCAAGCGAGACAACUGUAGCUAAGGAACUCUGCAAAAUAACUCCGUAACUUCGGAAGAAGGAGUGCUCAUCUUUGAUGAGCCGCAGUGAAGAGGGAGGGGCAACUGUUUAACAAAAACACAGCUCUCUGCUAAGUCGCAAGACGAUGUAUAGGGGGUGACACCUGCCCAGUGCCGGAAGGUUAAGAGGAGAAGUCAGCACAAGCGAAGCUUUGAAUUGAAGCCCCGGUGAACGGCGGCCGUAACUAUAACGGUCCUAAGGUAGCGAAAUUCCUUGUCAGGUAAAUUCUGACCCGCACGAAAGGUGUAAUGAUCCCUUCGCUGUCUCGGCUGCAGACUCGGUGAAAUUUUAGUACCGGUGAAGAUGCCGGUUACCCGCAACUAGACGGGAAGACCCCGUGGAGCUUUACUAUAACUUGAUAUUGAAAUUUGGUGUAACGUGUAGAGGAUAGGUGGGAGACUAUGAGACCAGG